UGUGUACAAAAUUAUAAAUAGACGGGUAUUUCCUCAAAAUUAUGUAAACAAAAUACAAGAAAUAGCGUAACCGGCGCCAGACAUCAUUACAGAAGUUUGUUUUUCGUGCAACCAUUGAACAAAAUUUGGAUACAUUUGAUUUUCUCAACAUGGUCAUUUAAGUAACUUUGUUUUUCAAGGAAAAGCGCACCUUCAUCGACAUAAUUUGCGAGAGAAACCAAUUUUCGCGAUCUAGAUUUACAGUAGCCUACUGUACAUCGGAAUAAAAGACAUUGACAGGACAAAUUUGUAUGUCUACUGUACUCUGAUUCAGACAACUCUAUAUCAUGUGUGAGGAAGAUGCACCUAUAAGUAAAGUUGAAGAGAAUAGAGAUUGUACUGUAUUUGAUAAAGUAGCCAAUAGUACACCAGUCUGAUCUGCAGGUGUCAAGACAGUUCAGGUGUCAAUAUGGGUAUAUGACCAAAACCAGAAAGAUGUGUUUCAUCCAGUGUUCACUGUUCACAGGGGUUGAAGAGCUUUGCUAGCACUUACAGCUACAGCUAGGCCAACAGAUUGUGCCAAAUAAACAUUGUGUACUAGGUACAUGUAUAAUAACCAUUAGAAAUAGUACAGUUGAACUUGAAGGCAGAAAAACAUAGAAGAAAUCAGUGAUCAAAGUAUCUGUGGAUCUGAGAGUGGGAAGUAAAUGUUAUGAACAAAUGUCUUAUGUGAUUAACAUGCUUUUACAGAAGAUAAAAUAAUGAUUUUGGACCUUUUUUAUUUAUUUUAAAAAUAAAAUUUGGGAUGAAGAGUUAUUUGACAUACUACUACACCAAAUAUCAAAUCAAGUCAUCAAUCAGAGUCAAAUAGCAGUCUUAAAGUCUUCAUAACUGCAAAAAUGUUGAAAUAUGGUUAGACUACAAUACUUGGACAGUAUGGACCAUCAUCAGUAUAUGAUCAAAUACCUGCAUUCAACAUAUUGAUUAAGUUUAAGUAACUUAGUGUUGGAACACUUCCUCAUGGAAUUAUUGUAUAGUGUGUAAUUUCAGGUCAAGGUUUUGUCCAGGUUUUGUCCAAAAUGAUAAGUUUUUUGAAAGGCAACACUGUCACACAUAAUCCUUUGCCAAAUUCAUGAAAACUACACAUGUAUUGGUGCUGCAAGUUGUGACAUUUGUCAGAAAGAUGUAAUGAUGGAAAUUGUAGAAAUUUAUUUUCACUGGUAUUUUGAAAUACAUGUGCAUGUGCAAUUUAAAUUUUUACACAGUUAUAUAAUCAGAAUAUUUUAAGUUUCCUUUCAACACUCACAUCAAAUGGCUGUACAUAGGUUUAAAAUUCUGGCAUCAUUUUCCAUGAAAUUUAGGUCUUUUCUUAUACAAUUUUGUAAUUUUUAACAUUAGCUGAUUCUUAAACUUUAAAAUUCACUGUGUGAGAUAUUGUGUAAUACAUUAAGGAUGUAACAAGUUGAAUUUUGUUGACAUCAUUUUCUGCCCACAUCAGGUACCAGUAUUUUGUGAAUGAUAUCCCUUUUAUAAAUUUGAAUUUAUAGGGUAUCGACAGUAUCUAUGUUAUUACUGUUGCUUAUUUAUAAAUGAGAUAGCUCUUUUAAUUAGUUAACAAUGAGUUAUGUCUAUUUUUUUCAUAGUCUUGAAUAAAUGUAGAUCUGCAGGAACCUAUGUUAUAAUUACAUUGUAAAUGAUUGCAUUUGAACUGGGGACAUUUGUUUCACAUUAGCAUCAUAUCAUAAAGAACAAGUUGCAUAAAUCCUGCAUGAUUAUAUUUGUUUAGGAAUAUGGUUCCUGUUCCAAAGUUAGAUUUUUUAAUUCAACUUGUAAUGUCUGAACUAACAGUUUUGCUUUAACAUGAAAUUAUUUAUGGGAUAUUUGUCAUUUAUGACAACAUAAUAAGACCUGCAGCCUUUCUUUAAAUGCUUUUAGAUGUUACCUAUAUGAUUUUGAAUUUUGCAAAAUGUAAGCAUUGAUGCAAAAUUAUAUCAACCCUUAGCCUGUAGAGUUUAUAAAUGGACAUGUCUGGCUUAUAUAUUUAAAAGUGUUUAUUAUCAUUUUGGGUACAUUAUUCAUCAGGAUGAAAAGUUAAAGUUAGUGAGACACUAGUGUGGAGCCUGUUCAGUCUCCAUAGCCUGGCUUUAUACUGCUGGCAAAGGCUAAUCACUUAGCUUAUUUACAAUGAAGCAUGAAAAUAGCCAAUUACACUGUCCUAUGGAUAAUGCUAAAUUACAACAAAAUAAUAUGACCUAUUUUGAGUAAUAGCCUCAUAAACCAGAUACUGUUCUGGCCAUCUUUUGGCACUUGUCAACAUAUUUAUAUAUAUAAUUAGCUCACAUGUCACAAAGUGACAUUAAGAUCUUUUUUGAUGUAACAAUGUGAAUGGGUAUCAUAAUUUCACUGAACAUAGUAACAAUAUGACUGGGUAUCCGAGUAUUAAACCAGUGCUGAAGGCACAAAUUGUACUUUAAAACCUGAAAUAUUCAAACAAGCUUAAAUAUACAUUGCCUACUCAAUAGCUAGAUUAUCCUAACCUAUAUAUAUUUAGUGUUCUGGUCAAGUUUGAUCUUGUUUUUCUAUUGUUACUAUUGGCUUAGGAUGUUAACUUCAUAGGAAAAGAUAUUUGUCAAUUUAUCCCUGUGAUUGUGAGUGACCUUACAGCCAACUUAUGUACUCUUAUUUUUGUUAUGUUUAUGUGAUCAACCCUUGAUACAUUAUAUUUUAGGACUGUGGUAUAUGUGUAUGUUAAAUCAAUAAAAUGUUGCAUUUGUAAUUUCAUAUUACAUAUUGUUUUGAGAAUGAAGACUUACAUGUACAGGUGUGAAAUAAAUUCAUUGAUGAUCUA